AUCUCUGUAAUGCUGGUUGGUAUGCGAGAGCAUCUUCAGCCACAGCAUUACCCAAGAACUAGGGAGCUCUGAUUUGAAGGCACUACAGUUACCAGAUGAAACCUGUCCAACAUGGCUGCUUUGUGGAAUUCGAGUGGGCAGAUCGGUACCAGUCAACGUCCUAUGUGAGCAGAUAUCUGUCUGGCUCCAUCUUCCACAGUUUGACAUAGAUGACUCCAUUUUGAACCUGCCAACUUUCACAAGACUUCUACAUAUCAGAUAGUAUCUAUCAAAUAUCCCCAACACAUAGCCUCACUUCCCUCAGAUUACCUGAAGAGAAGCCAUGAGGCCGGGGUCAUUUUAGCACCUGCUUGGAAGAC